GCCGGUGUGGUGUAAUGGCGAGCGCGCGGGUCUCCAAAACCCUGUGGUGUCGGUUCGAGUCCGGCCUCCGGUGCCA
rnacentral:tRNA from 1 species